UUACAGUGUCUGCCCUAUCAACUUUCGUCGGUACGGUAUUUGCCUACCGAGGUUCUUACGGGUGACGGGGAAUCAGGGUUCGAUUCCGGAGAGGGAGCCUGAGAAACGGCUACCACAUCCAAGGAAGGCAGCAGGCGCGCAAAUUACCCAUUCCCGACGCGGGGAGGUAGUGACGAAAAAUAACAAUGCAGGACUCGUUCGAGGCCCUGUAAUUGGAAUGAGUACACUUUAAAAGCUUUAACGAGUAUCCAUUGGAGGGCAAGUCUGGUGCCAGCAGCCGCGGUAAUUCCAGCUCCAAAAGUAUAUAUUUAAGUUGUUGCGGUUAAAAAGCUCGUAGUUGGAUUUUGGGCGCAGGCGGCCGGUCCGUCGCAAGGCGUGUACUGGACGUCCUGGCCUUCCCUCCGGUUCUCCGCCGGUGCUCUUGACUGAGUGUCGGCGGCGGCCGGAACGUUUACUUUGAAAAAAUUAGAGUGUUCAAAGCAGGCUCUCGAGCCUGGAUAAUGGUGCAUGGAAUAAUGGAAUAGGACCUCGGUUCUAUUUUGUUGGUUUUCGGAGCGCGAGGUAAUGAUUAAGAGGGACAGACGGGGGCAUUCGUACUGUGCCGUUAGAGGUGAAAUUCUUGGAUCGGCGCAAGACGAACGACUGCGAAAGCAUUUGCCAAGAAUGGUUUCUUUAAUCAAGAGCGAAAGUCAGAGGUUCGAAGACGAUCAGAUACCGUCCUAGUUCUGACUAUAAACGAUGCCAACUAGCGAUCGGGGGGCGUUACAUUGACGACCCCUCCGGCAGCUUACGGG
rnacentral:ncRNA from 1 species